UACGUAGGUUGCGAGCGUUGUCCGGAAUUACUGGGUGUAAAGGGCGUGUAGGCGGGGAGAUAAGUCAGAUGUGAAAUUCCUAGGCUCAACUUAGGGGCUGCAUCUGAAACUAUUUUUCUUGAGUGCUGGAGAGGGAAGCGGAAUUCCUAGUGUAGCGGUGAAAUGCGUAGAUAUUAGGAGGAACACCAGUGGCGAAGGCGGCUUUCUGGACAGUAACUGACGCUGAGGCGCGAAAGCGUGGGGAGCAAACAGG
rnacentral:rRNA from 1 species